rnacentral:lncRNA from 1 species
AUGGCACCCAGCAUCCCUUCUAGCUUGAAAAUACAAUCAUUUCCUGAUGUAGUGACCUUAAGGGAGUGGAUAAUCAUCUUAAGGAACCCUAAGAGAAGAGUCACACCACAAGUGAACCUUGGGCAGAGAAGAGUUAAAACAGUCUUCAAAAAUGUCAACAGGAGUAAAGGGGGUAAAGUGAAAGCAAGCACACGUGCUGCUAGUCACCCAGCACAGAGAGCCAGACAAACCCCUCCGAGCAGCAGUUUCCUCAUCCAUGAAGUGACGACCAUCGCGGCACCUUCCUCAAAGGGCAGUAAUGGGCUAACAUUCCUGAGCAUGCAGGCUAGUGCUCAGUAGAGUGGCUGUCAUUAUUUCUUCUUUUUCUGCGUCAUCAUUCCCCCAGUUUUAUUGAUACUCUAAAGGUCAGGUUCAGAAUAUUUGAUUUGAAAAGACCUGUUCCAAAACUCUUGGUCAAAAGUAGCAACAUGAUUCAAGGGUGACGUUAAGAAAUACAAGAACUUGGAAACGUUUUCUGAUCUAAGCUUUGGAAUUUUCCACUGCAUUCUUUUUAUGUCAGUUAAGGUCUUUCCAGAGUAAGAAAUGUCCAGAUUAUAUAUAGCUGGGCAUCCUAAUUCUUCUUUCCAUCCUAGUUUAUUUUUCUCUCUGGUAAAAUGUAACAGACAAUUCGGGAAUCUUCACUCUGCAUACAUAAAACAUAAAGUAUACUAUAGGUUCUUGUUUUGUUUUGUUUUGUUUUUUGAGACAGAGUUUUGCUCUUGUUGCCCAGGCUGGAGAGCAAUGGUGCCAUCUCGGCUCACUGUUAGCUCCACCUCCUGGGUUCAAGCAAUUCUCCUGUCUCAGCCUCCCAAGUAGCUGUGAUCACAGGCACCUGUCACCAUGCCCUGCUAAUUUUUUUAUUUUUAGUAGAGACAAGGUUUCACUAUGUUGGCCAGGCUGGUCUCAAACUCCUGACCUUAGGCAAUCUACCCACCUCGGCCUCCCAAAGUGCUGGGAUUUCAGGAGUGAGCCACCGCGCCCAGCCCUAUAGUCUUAUUAAGAAAAGAAAUUCAAGAAAUAGAAAAAAAAAAGUUAUUGUAAUAUCUCUGGCAAUAAGAAUAAUUCAUUGACUUUUCAAUAAUUCAAAAUCUUUUUAAAUUAAAGUUAAUUUUAAGGAUAUAUAUGCGUGACGUGUAGGUUUGUUACACAGGUAAACAUGUGCCAUGAUGGUGUGCUGCACCUAUCCACCCAUCACCAGGUACUACGCCCCACAUGCAUUAGUUGUUUAUCCUGAUGCUCUCCCUCCCCCACGCUCCGUCCCCCACUGACAGGCCCCAGUGUGUGUUGUUCCCCUGUUCUUAUUUUUAAUAUUUAUUUAUUUUGAGACACUCUGUUGCCCAGGCUGGAGUGUAGUGACUGAAUCACAGCUCAUGCAGCCUCAAC